rnacentral:lncRNA from 1 species
GGACAUUUGAAAAUAAUACCCCGCCCCAGUACUGAACUCUGAGGGACCUGUCUGAGUUUAUUCUGUGUGUUUUAAUAGAGAGAUCCUGCAGGACGAGUGGCGCUGAGGUCUGAACAGCGGGAAUCAGCAGCAGCAGCAGCGGCAGGACAGUCUGAGCAGAUGAAGAAUUACGGGAAGGACGAGACUGAAGCUAAGUUAAUUAAAAAUCAGUCGAGUUAAAGCAGUUGAAUCACUGGAGCAAUAAUUGAUUGUGUUAGCUGUAUCGAAUGAUAUCAGAAAAUAGGAAUUCUCCUAAAUGGGAGAGGACAGGAUAUCGAGAGAGAGGACGCGAGAGGCGCUAGGUGCUGCAGGAAGCAAUUACCAUCGAUAAUUUUUUUCUAAUAAACUUGUAUCCUUCAGAUGAUAACCAAUUAAACAUGCGUAAUUACGGCUCCCGUAUAGUUAUUCAUAAGACGAUUAGCAUGUCUGCCUUACUUCUAGAUUAGCCGCAUACUGAUGAGGCGCAGGUUAAGCGGCGGAUCUGGUGAUACACAUGCAAAUUUCAUGCAAAUGUGCGUGCAAAAAUAGCAGGGAGGCGACGUCAUUAAUGGCGUUGCUAAUAGGUCAUUUGCAUGCUGUUUACUCUGAUUGUACUGACGACAGGAGUCACCGGAACCGGCCGGUUCUACAGAGGCCUGGCGAGGAGCGGCGGGUCCACUGGCGGGUCCACUGGCGGGUCCACUGGCGGGUCCACUGGCAGGUCCACUGGCGGGUCCUCUGGCAGGUCCACUGGCAGGUCCAACGAAGAGCCAGAACUCAUCAUUUACAUCAUAGACAGGAACAGCUCACUGCUUCACAGGAAGAGAGGACUGGAAAUGGAUAGAGGCAGAGGUAGCGAGAAAGAUCGAUAAAGAGACAGAGAGAGAGUAAGAAAGAAAGAAAGAAAAAGAGAGAGAGAGAGUAAAAAAAGAAAGAUCUUCUUCAUUGAGGCAGAGCUUUGAGUAUAGCGUUCACCUCCUCCGCCACGGCAGUCAGCGCAAACUCGAACUGAUCCUGAAGAGAGAAAAACAAAAAACAGAGAAUCCUGUUAAUUAAGGGGAUUAAAGAGAGUUUAUCCUGCUUUGUGUUGGAGUAACUGUCUCUACUGUCUAGAGAAGACCUUUUUUUAGGUUUUGGAGAAUUGCUGUGAGGAUUUGAUUGAAGUCAGAACUUUGCUCAAUUACCCAAACCUAUUGGAUGGAGCUCCAUCAUCAUUCCAGAGAACACUGUUCCUCUACUGCUCCACAUCUCAAUACUGUGAGGGCUUUAUACCCCUCUAUCUAGCUAAUAUGCUAAUUUUCUUGAGCAUGGUGCCAACAGGUUAAUCUUCUGAUUUUGUUUCUAUAUUUUAUUUAAUUGUUUCACUAUUUCUAUAGAUUUGCUCCAGAUAGUCAUAUUCUAUUGGCAGUAUUUCUCUAUAGGGAAUUUACAAGGUGUGUGUGUGUGUCUG